rnacentral:rRNA from 1 species
UACAGAGGUCCCGAGCGUUGUUCGGAUUCACUGGGCGUAAAGGGUGCGUAGGUGGUGAGGUAAGUCGGAUGUGAAAGUCCUGGGCUUAACCUGGGGACUGCAUUUGAUACUGGGUUGCUUGAAUUCGGGAGAGGAUAGCGGAAUUCCCAGUGUAGAGGUGAAAUUCGUAGAUAUUGGGAAGAACACCGGUGGCGAAGGCGGCUAUCUGGACCGACAUUGACGCUGAGGCGCGAAAGCGUGGGGAGCAAACAGG